AUGAAUUUUAUCUCUAAUGAGAUUUCAUUUCUACUUUAUCCAAUCACUACCAACAAAGAGAAAAAACAAAUGAUAUCACAAAUUAAAGAAACUGGUAGAGGAAGCAGCUCGGCCACAAACCCGCCGGUCUUAAUCAACAACAUGGAAAACAAUAUUAUAAAAAAACAUCACAUGCUAAACAAAACCCUCCACCGAUGUAGCCAGCCCACCAUUAAUCAGUCUUCGUCGACACCACCAUAA